rnacentral:rRNA from 1 species
UACGUAGGUGGCAAGCGUUGUCCGGAAUUAUUGGGCGUAAAGCGCGCGCAGGUGGCUAUGUAAGUCUGAUGUUAAAGCCCGAGGCUCAACCUCGGUUCGCAUUGGAAACUGCGUAGCUUGAGUGCAGGAGAGGAAAGUGGUAUUCCACGUGUAGCGGUGAAAUGCGUAGAGAUGUGGAGGAACACCAGUGGCGAAGGCGACUUUCUGGCCUGUAACUGACACUGAGGCGCGAAAGCGUGGGGAGCAAACAGG